UUUCCCGAGGCAGAGCGAAAAGUCUUCAUGCGUUACUGAGCAUGUCCGGUGCCCGAAGGGGCGCUUUGGACGCCAGUGAAGCGAGGAGAGGCGGAGAAGGAACCGAGCGGGCAGUUGAGGGAAAUCUCGGAGGAGGUUACCUGCGAUCAAACUGGGGCUGCGUAGUGUUAGGGUCAGGCAGCUUUGAAGUGGAAUCCGGAUCCGCCACUCUCGCUGCGUGAUAUUGGGCAUGCCAUCAAAGCGCUCUCAACCGAACGUCUCGGGUAAAAUGGGAUUAGUGAAGUCUACCAAGGUAGUUGUGAGGAUCAAAAGAGAUAACGCGGAAAACGCCUCACCUGGCACGUUAUAGAUCCUAAAUGCCUAGCUAUUAUUAUGGAGCCCACAACCUCCAUAUUUUACAACUGGGAACACGGGACUCAAAGAGAUUAAAAAACUAAAUGACUCACUCAAGGUCAGGUAGUGGUGGAGACCCAGGCUUCAAGUUCAAUACUCUUUGUCCUACAAAGCCUUCCCUUAAGCAGGGGUAAUAAAACAUUUCAGAAAAACCACCUUAAAGAGCAUCGCUUGUGAUCUGUGGAUCACUUGGUAGUCCCCACCUCCCUCCCAUCCCCGCAAAGGUUUAGAGCUGGACAUAAGGGCCUUGGUGCAACUUUUGGAGGGCAGUUGUUCAGCUUCUGAAUUUGCAUCUGAACGAGCAAUAAGGUGGGGUGCUUUCCUCAAUUCCCUUGGGGCCCCUACAUUUUGGUUAAGGUGUAAACAGCAAGGAGCUCCAGGUCCUCCACGUCUCUAACUAGCUGAAGAAAGAUUAACUCAAUUAACCAGCAUUUACCCAGCAUCCAUCAAGUAGUAAGGUUUUCCCAGCAGGCAAGGAGCCUGUGACCUCAGGGCUGUGCAGGCAGGCACCUUGGGAUUCAGACACACUUAGACUUCCAGCCCAUUCCUCUAAUUUAGCUCUUAAUCACUUACUGCCAGGCAGUAUUUCUUGAAUGUUGUAGUACUAUGUAAUUUUAGCUAUGCUGUUAACUUUUUAAAAAAGGAUGUGUCUGUCUCCCUGUCUUGUAGCCCCAAACGUAUACUUGAUCUUGGUAAAGGAUGUCACCCAGUAUCUUAAAUAAGCCCUGAAGUUUCCCAUGUCCCAGGAAUUAUUCACUUGACCCUCCCAAGUUAAAUGCAGUGUCUUCCAAAAAAUCUUGGUGGUCUACUUCUUUGGAAUACAUUAGUAUCUUUUCUACAGCAUUUGGCAGCUACCUUGCUUUAAACACUGUUCUCUAGUUUUGUGUUCUACUAUUUAUGCAUAUUAUCACCUACAAAAAGUUUCUCUAACAUUCAUGUAUGAGUUGGCUGUUCAUAUGGAUCAAUAUAUCACUUAUUACCCAAUCCUUUAAGGCUUGAUUUAUUUUCCUUUCCCUUCAGAUUGUAAAACUCUUGAAUGGCAGGAACCCUGUCUAGUUCCACAUCGAAUUUCCAGCCUGUUCCUCAGUAACAGCACCACUCAACAACUAGCUAUUGAAUGGCUGAGUGAGCUCCCUGCCUAUCUUAUAAAAUUAUUAGGGGCAUACUUUAUUUUUAUAUUUAUAUCUCAAUACCAGGAAUUUUCUGGGAAGUUAAGAAUUUCCAAUAAAUCUUGGACUACUCUAAAAUGCACCAGAAAUUACGUGGUCACACUCGUGCAGUGAAAGAAGGCUUUGGCAGUAGCAUAAGACAUUAAGCAGAAGUAGGAAAUGCAGUGAGGAAGAAGUUGUAAUGUUUUCAACAGCUGCCACUAUGGAUCUAGGAUGAGAGCUUUCCACAUGUUGUUAAGAAUGAGAGACAGAUUACUCCAAGGUAGGUAAGUGAUGUUGCUCAAAGAGGAAUUUUGAAAUCAAACAGCGUUUGCUUACUUUGAACUUGUACUAUUUGUCCCUUUGUCUAAUUUGGCACAAAAAUGGAAAGCCUGGUGGUAUGCUUGCAUCCAGUAUUGUUCCCCUCUUGAUAUGCUGUUUAACUCUCUCCAUGUGCAAGUCCUCACCAUACCUAGUCCUUUCAUCCCUCGUCAUACUAUGGCACGAGCAAAUGCCCAGUAGCAUGAUCUUGAAGUUAUUUGCAGUUUAUCCUUAUCUUUAUUUGUCAGUCUUCAAGUCCCAUAAAGUCUUCCUCUUAAAUGGUAGUGAGAGCGAUUAACUGUCUUCCACGCCCUUGGUCACUACCUUAGGGUAACCCCUUGUAUCUCUCACCUGGACUCUUACCAAAACCUGCUUCCUAACUGGUCUUUUUGCUUCAUCUUAGGCCCAUCUAUCCCAACUUCCAACACACCCCAGACUCUAUAGACAGACUUAGAACUUACAUUUUAUGUUUUAAAAUAUAAAUAUUGAACAUAUAAGGAUAAGAUGUUUAAAAUUGGCCAUUGGGAUCUGAAGGACCCAUCUAAGGCUUUUUUUGGAGGCUAAACAAUGAGAACAUCUUUGAAUUAGUGACAUUGUGAAUUAACAGAGAGCUAAGAUGUCUCUUGGUAUUUAAUAGGCAAUCCUCAAAAAGU
rnacentral:lncRNA from 1 species